rnacentral:rRNA from 1 species
AGAGCGAACGCUGGCGGCAGGCUUAACACAUGCAAGUCGAGCGGGCGUAGCAAUACGUCAGCGGCAGACGGGUGAGUAACGCGUGGGAACAUACCUUUUGGUUCGGAACAACACAGGGAAACUUGUGCUAAUACCGGAUAAGCCAUUACGGGGAAAGAUUUAUCGCCGAAAGAUUGGCCCGCGUCUGAUUAGCUAGUUGGUGAGGUAACGGCUCACCAAGGCGACGAUCAGUAGCUGGUCUGAGAGGAUGAUCAGCCACAUUGGGACUGAGACACGGCCCAAACUCCUACGGGAGGCAGCAGUGGGGAAUAUUGGACAAUGGGCGCAAGCCUGAUCCAGCCAUGCCGCGUGAGUGAUGAAGGCCCUAGGGUUGUAAAGCUCUUUUGUGCGGGAAGAUAAUGACGGUACCGCAAGAAUAAGCCCGGCUAACUUCGCGCCAGCAGCCGC